GGGCCUCUAGCUCAGCCAGGUAGAGCACUGGUGUUUGUCGCGAAUUCUCGCGCGAACUGGUGAGACUUUUAAUCCAGGGGUCUGGGGUCCGAAUCCCCAGAGGCCCG
rnacentral:tRNA from 1 species